rnacentral:lncRNA from 10 species
GCUAUCUCAUCUCUUUUAUUUUUAGUUACUUUUCUUCUGAAUGAUUCUUACUUUUCCCUCCCCCUCCAGUAUUAAGUCUUAUUCAAGACAGCUCAAUAAGGAGGUCCAUAACAUCAAGCCUCAUAUCAUGUUGCCUCCCCUUUUACCAUGACAUCAAUUAGCUGGGUCUGCAGGAUGGAGUUAGGAAAAGGUAUGGUAGUGUACUUAACUACAGGCUAGAAUCUACAGCUGGUAUAGUUUAGAUGUGUGUCCCUUCCAAAUCUCAUGUUGAAAUGUGACCUCCAGUGUUGGAGGUGGGCCUAAUGGGAGGUGUUUGGGUGUUUUGCAGGACAUUUAGUUAUCCCCUCCGACCCACAGACUCCAGGUCCUACUUAUAUUCUUCCUCCUGUUUGUGAGUGAAUCACAUAACUUGUGCAAUCUCAAUCCAAGGACUGGAAGCCAACCUAUUCACAAAAAAUCUUCCUCACCAGCCUCUACCAUAUUUCAUUCUGCCCAAUAACUCCUUAGCCAUUAUUAUUUAAAAUGGACUCAGAGAUCAUAGCAAAUAUCCCAUUUUCAUCACCAAAUGAAAAAAUUUCAAAAAUGUAAUUGAAAAUACUCACAAAACUCCACAGAGAAUACUCGCGUGAGGUUUUGUUAAGGCAAAGGAUAUGGUGCAGCAAGAGAAAGAAUGCGUGCCCAUAUGCUAUGUCAGACACAAAUCCAGGCAGUUUUCCAGACUCCCAUUCAUACACUGAUAUGAUUCACUUCCAG